CUCCUACGGGAGGCAGCAGUGAGGAAUAUUGGUCAAUGGGCGGGAGCCUGAACCAGCCAAGUAGCGUGAAGGACGACGGCCCUACGGGUUGUAAACUUCUUUUAUAAGGGAAUAAAGUUCGCCACGUGUGGUGUUUUGUAUGUACCUUAUGAAUAAGCAUCGGCUAAUUCCGUGCCAGCAGCCGCGGUAAUACGGAAGAUGCGAGCGUUAUCCGGAUUUAUUGGGUUUAAAGGGAGCGUAGGCGGGCUUUUAAGUCAGCGGUCAAAUGUCACGGCUCAACCGUGGCCAGCCGUUGAAACUGCAAGCCUUGAGUCUGCACAGGGCACAUGGAAUUCGUGGUGUAGCGGUGAAAUGCAUAGAUAUCACGCAGAACCCCGAUUGCGAAGGCAGCCUGCUAGGGUGCGACAGACGCUGAGGCACGAAAGCGUGGGUAUCGAACAGGAUUAGAUACCCUGGUAGUCCACGCAGUAAACGAUGAAUACUAACUGUUUGCGAUACAAUGUAAGCGGUACAGCGAAAGC
rnacentral:rRNA from 1 species